rnacentral:rRNA from 1 species
UACGAAGGGGGCUAGCGUUGCUCGGAAUCACUGGGCGUAAAGCGCACGUAGGCGGAUUGUUAAGUCAGGGGUGAAAUCCUGGAGCUCAACUCCAGAACUGCCUUUGAUACUGGCGAUCUUGAGUCCGGGAGAGGUGAGUGGAACUGCGAGUGUAGAGGUGAAAUUCGUAGAUAUUCGCAAGAACACCAGUGGCGAAGGCGGCUCACUGGCCCGGUACUGACGCUGAGGCACGAAAGCGUGGGAGCAACAGGGAUUAAGAAACCC